GAUUAGACCCCUAGCCUGGGAACCUCCAUAUACUGCAGGUGCGGCUCUAAAAAGACAAAAAAAAAAAGAGAUACCCUUUGAAAGCUCUCCAUCCUGACUUGGACGAGGCCCAUGGGUCUGCCCUGGAGUCAUCACGGUUUCUCCCGCUCCCUUGGCCUCUUCACUGGCUCCUGGGUUCUUUCCUGGUGGAGCCCCCCCCGACCUUUCCAACACGGCUCCCGGGAGCAGAGGGAGAGCCCGGGUGGCUCCCCACAGGAGGUCUCUGCCCUCAGAGUCCGCUCAGACCCCCAUGCCCGCUCUAUCAAGCCCAGCAGAGUCCUUGGCCCUGGCGUCUGGGUUCCCCGCCCCUGCAGGCUCCACCUCUCCCCAGGCAGCCCGGCCAGGAGCUCUGGACACUACUGGCCCGGAACAGUCACCCUGCUUCUCAUCUCCCAACAGCAUCCGGUUCAUAUGCCCGAAGACUCAGUUCAGGAUGAGGCAGACCAGCAAUGAGAUACGCAGGGGAGAAAGGCUGGGGCGCAGCCCUCGCUCUAGAACUGCUUAAGGUCACGGGGCUUCGGCUCUGAGGCAUGAGGCUCCCCGUCAAGCCACGCGUCCUGAUGCAGGAUUCUCAUCAGAACAGCCGUGAUCUCUGACUCACUGCCAGUCAGCAAAGGAAUGUUCCCAGCCCCCUGGAGGGUAAUGAAGGGGAGACGAUAAGGCCAAACCCGGAGGGAUGAACGCGCCAUGUCACGGGUCCCCUGGGCACUCAGGGCAGCCAGGGGAGGUCCUUAGCCCAAAGCAGGUGUGGAAGCAGUGUCUCAGGAGGCGUUUACAGAAAUGUCACAUCUUUUUUAAAAAGUGAGGGCUUUUUCACGGACCCUGGAAAACAUCAAAGCUUUGAAGGCCUCAGCAGAUGUUCAUUUGUGGAAGGCUAGAGACCAAUAACCUAUUCAACUUGGGCAGCUUUCUUUGCACACCGGCGAGUAAUACGCUUCACUCCUUACGAAGAGCCCUGUCACUCAGACUGUCCCAAGCCAGCCCGACUUUCUCUGGGAAGUCCAAACCAAUAAAGGUGUGAAGAAAGGCA